rnacentral:rRNA from 1 species
UAGGGAAUCUUCCGCAAUGGACGAAAGUCUGACGGAGCAACGCCGCGUGAGUGAAGAAGGAUUUCGGUUCGUAAAACUCUGUUGCUAGGGAAGAAAAAAUGUAUAGUAACUAUAUACAAAAGAGACGGUACCUAACCAGAAAGCCACGGCUAACUACGUGCCAGCAGCCGCGGUAAUACGUAGGUGGCAAGCGUUGUCCGGAAUUAUUGGGCGUAAAGCGCGCGCAGGUGGUUUAGAAAGUCUGAUGUGAAAGCCCACGGCUCAACCGUGGGGGGUCAUUGGGAACUAAUAAACUUGGGUGCAGGAGAGAAAAGUGGAAUUCCUAGUGUAGCGGUGAAAUGCGUGAGGAUUAGGAGGAACACCAGUGGCGAAAGCGGCUUUUUGGCCUGCAACAGCCACUGAGGCGCGAAAGCGUGGGGAGCAAACAGG